rnacentral:rRNA from 1 species
AUGAACGCUAGCGGGAGGCUUAACACAUGCAAGCCGAGGGUUAUAGCUAGCUUGCUAACUAGAGACCGGCGCACGGGUGCGUAACGCGUAUGCAACCUACCUUCAACUGGGGGAUAGCCCGGAGAAAUCCGGAUUAAUACCGCAUAACACCCUUCGAUGGCAUCUGAAGAGGGUUAAAGAUUUAUCGGUUGGAGAUGGGCAUGCGUGCCAUUAGCUAGUUGGCGGGGUAAGGGCCCACCAAGGCUACGAUGGCUAGGGGUUCUGAGAGGACGGUCCCCCACACUGGCACUGAGAUACGGGCCAGACUCCUACGGGAGGCAGCAG